UCUGGAUUAAUUGUGUGAUUUAAUCUGUACUAUCUUUCUAUAAUUCCUUUGACGGAAUUGAAGAUGUCACUGAUCCACUGAGAUCUGGU